rnacentral:rRNA from 1 species
AGAGUUUGAUCCUGGCUCAGGAUGAACGCUGGCGGCAUGCCUAAGACAUGCAAGUCGAACGGAGCGGCCCAUUGAAGACGGAGUGCUUGCACAAAGUUGGAUUUGGAUUCCCGCUCAGUGGCAGACGGGUGAGUAACACGUGGGUAAUCUACCUCAGAGACUGGGAUAACGUUUGGAAACGAACGCUAAUACCGGAUAAUUCACAGAUACAAAAGUAACUGUGCUAAAAGGAGCUACGGCUUCACUUUGAGAUGAGCUUGCGGUGUAUUAGCUAGUUGGUGAGGUAACGGCCUACCAAGGCGACGAUCAGUAGCCGGACUGAGAGGUUGAACGGCCACAUUGGGACUGAGAUACGGCCCAGACUCCUACGGGAGGCAGCAGUCGGGAAUAUUGCGCAAUGGAGGAAACUCUGACGCAGUGACGCCGCGUAUAGGAAGAAGGUUUUCGGAUUGUAAACUAUUGUCGUUAGGGAAGAUAAAAGACAGUACCUAAGGAGGAAGCUCCGGCUAACUACGUGCCAGCAGCCGCGGUAAUACGUAGGGAGCAAGCGUUAUCCGGAUUUAUUGGGUGUAAAGGGUGCGUAGACGGGAAAUUAAGUUAGUUGUGAAAUCCCUCGGCUUAACUGAGGAACUGCAACUAAAACUGGUUUUCUUGAGUGCGGGAGAGGAAAGUGGAAUUCCUAGUGUAGCGGUGAAAUGCGUAGAGAUUGGGAGGAACACCAGUGGCGAAGGCGACUUACUGGGCUGUAACUGACGUUGAGGCACGAAAGUGUGGGGAGCGAACAGGAUUAGAUACCCUGGUAGUCCACGCGGUAAACGAUGAAUGCUAGGCGUAGGGGGUAUCGACCCCUCCUGUGCCGGAGUAAACACAAUAAGCAUUCCGCCUGGGGAGUACGGCCGCAAGGUUGAAACUCAAAGGAAUUGACGGGGGCCCGCACAAGCAGCGGAGCAUGUGGUUUAAUUCGAAGCAACGCGAAGAACCUUACCAGGUCUUGACAUCGAGGAAAACUCAUAGAGAUAUGAGGUCCCUUCGGGGGUCCGAAGACAGGUGGUGCAUGGUUGUCGUCAGCUCGUGUCGUGAGAUGUUGGGUUAAGUCCCGCAACGAGCGCAACCCUUAUCUUCAGUUACUAACGCGUGAUGGCGAGGACUCUAUUGGGACUGCCGGGGACAACUCGGAGGAAGGUGGGGACGACGUCAAAUCAUCAUGCCCCUUAUGACCUGGGCUACACACGUGCUACAAUGGUCGUUACAGAGAGAAGCGAAAUCGCAAGGUAGAGCGGAUCUCAAAAAAGCGAUCCCAGUUCGGAUUGUGGGCUGCAACCCGCCCACAUGAAGUCGGAGUUGCUAGUAAUCGCGGAUCAGCAUGCCGCGGUGAAUACGUUCCCGGGCCUUGUACUCACCGCCCGUCA